rnacentral:lncRNA from 1 species
CUUACUUUGCCAUGCCUAAUUAAAUUCCAAAAUAAAAACAACCAAUGCCAUUAUGAAAAAAAAAUACAUAUGUAUUGCAGAAAGCAUACUUAAUUAAAUUAACAAUAUCUCCCUUGUCCUAUUCAUCACCAAAUCGCAAACAUAACCUUAAGGUCAUUACCCUAUGCGGUUGAUGAUAGUGAACGGAGGAGAAGGCAGCGAGACAGCGACGACAGCAGCUAGAUUGAAACUGACAGCGAUGCACUUGAAUGGAACUAACAAUAGCUCAAGGAAUAGCUAGAAGCUGCAACGCUGGUGCACGUGAACGGAACUGACAGUGGCGGCAUUAUAUGGCUGUGUGUGAGUGAGACUGAGUAUGUCUAUGCUCUGUAGUGUGCUGGGCUUGCUGGCUUAAGGUUGUGCAUGGCUGAUGCAGGCAGUGUGGACUAGAAGAGGAAUUUCGGAUUUAGAGAUUUUGUUUUGAAUAUUUUGAUUUUGCCGUUCUGUCCUCUCUCUCUCUCUCUCUCUCUCUUUCUCUACAUAUCGGGUUUUAAUUUCAGCUCGGAUUGAGGUUGUAUCGUGUGGCUCUGUGUGAGUGAGACUGAGUGUGUCUGUGCUCUAUAGUGUUCUGGGCUUGCCGGCUUAGGGUUUUGCAUGGUUGCUGUAGGCAGUGUGGAGUAGAAGAGGAAUUUAGGAUUUAGGGAUUUU